ensembl:miRNA Mir300 microRNA 300
UAUCGUUUGCUACUUGAAGAGAGGUUAUCCUUUGUGUGUUUGCUUUACGCGAAAUGAAUAUGCAAGGGCAAGCUCUCUUCGAGGAGCAAA